rnacentral:tRNA from 1 species
GGGAAUGAUUGAGUAGCUGGUGCUUUCCACGGCCUUCAAAGCCGAUGUCUCGAAUUUAUUUGAGAGCUGGGUUCGAUUCCCAGGCAUUCCCG